GGAUGUGAGGGCAAUCUGGCUGCGACAUCUGUCACCCCACUGAUCACCAGGGUUGAUUUGGCUGAUCUGGCUGGCUAGGCGGAUGUCCCCUUCCUCUCUCACCGUUCCAUGUGUGUCUCUCCUGAAGCUGUGUGCUCAAUUGAAGAGGAUGGCCUUCCCCGAAUAGAGAUGGACCAGUCUUUGGUUGAGGGUAUAGGAGUAACUGUGCUCCCCUCCUAGAACCUCCAAAUAAACUCUCAAGAUUUACCAUACUAUACUAGAACUCACCAUGAAUUAUGUCAUUUAAUUCUAUCUACUAAUAACUAUAUCUUAGGUACGAG
rnacentral:snRNA from 1 species